CCUACGGGUGGCAGCAGUGAGGAAUAUUGGUCAAUGGGCGCGAGCCUGAACCAGCCAAGUCGCGUGAGGGAUGAAGGUUCUAUGGAUCGUAAACCUCGUUUAUAAGGGAAUAAAGUGUGGGACGUGUCCCAUUUUGUAUGUACCUUAUGAAUAAGGAUCGGCUAACUCCGUGCCAGCAGCCGCGGUAAUACGGAGGAUCCGCGCGUUAUCCGGAUUUAUUGGGUUUAAAGGGUGCGUAGGCGGCCUUUUAAGUCAGCGGUGAAAGUCUGUGGCUCAACCAUAGAAUUGCAGUUGAAACUGGGGGCCUUGAGUGUGUUUGAGGCAGGCGGAAUGCGUGGUGUAGCGGUGAAAUGCUUAGAUAUCACGAAGAACCCCGAUUGCGAAGGCAGCAUGCCAGGCCAUGACUGACGCUGAUGCACGAAAGCGUGGGGAUCAAACAGGAUUAGAUACCCCUGUAGUC
rnacentral:rRNA from 1 species